AAGGAGAAGGAUGUCCUGCUGGUUCCAGAGCAGCCUGAAGUGGAUUCCCCACCUAGCUCAGUCCACGGCCCCAAAUGCGGAUGAUGACUGGUCUGGAGUGCCCGCUACUGUUUACCCGGAGGAGCUGGACAAUGCCUGGACACCAGAGGUUAUUGGUGAACUGAACGGGAAAAAAUAUAGAGGAUGUCAUUGCUCAGGGUAACGGCAAACUUGCCAGCAUGCCAGUUGGUGGAGCUGUAGCAGUCUCAGCUGGACCAGGUUCUGCUGCACCUGCUGUUGGUGAG